rnacentral:rRNA from 1 species
CCUACGGGCGGCUGCAGUCGAGAAUCUUCCGCAAUGGGCGAAAGCCUGACGGAGCGACGCCGCGUGGAGGAUGAAGUCCUUCGGGACGUAAACACCUUUUAUGAGGGAAGAAGUUUAUUGACGGUACCUCAGGAAUAAGGGGUUGCUAAACUCGUGCCAGCAGCAGCGGUAAUACGAGUGCCCCAAGCGUUAUCCGGAAUCAUUGGGCGUAAAGGGUGCGUAGGCGGUUGUGUUAGUCUCCUGUGAAAGCUCCCGGCUUAACCGGGAAUGGGCGGGAGAAACGGCACAACUUAGAGCAGGUGAGAGGUCAGUAGAACUCAUGGUGUAGGGGUGAAAUCCGUUGAUAUCAUGGGGAAUACCAAAAGCGAAGGCAGCUGACUGGCGCCGAGCUGACGCUGAGGCACGAAAGCGUGGGUAGCGAACGGGAUUAGAUACCCGGGUAGUC